rnacentral:rRNA from 1 species
AUGCUGAAACGGGGGCUUAUCACACCAAGUGUUAGUUCAUUUUCCUCACCUGUGCUGCUUGUCAAGAAGAAGGACCAAAAGUGGCGGUUCUGCGUCGAUUUUCGACACUUGAAUGCCAUCAAUAUCAAGUCAUCCUACCCUAUGCCUGUGAUCGACGAGUUGUUGGAUGAACUCGCGGGUUCCAAGUGGUUUUCCAAACUUGACCUGCGGGCAGGUUACCACCAAAUUCGUCUUGUACCAGAGGACGAGCACAAGACGGCAUUCAAGACACACCAAGGCCAUUUUGAGUUCAGGGUUUUGCCGUACAGAGUGACGGGGGGCCCUCCAACAUUUCAAGGGAUGAUGAACACAGUACUGUCACCAUUGCUUCAUGAGGGAGUGUUAGUCUUUAUGGAUGAUAUUCUCGUUCAUUGCAAAACUCUGUCAGAACAUGAGAUCCUUCUCAUCAAAGUGCUCAAACUGCUACAGCAACACACCCUAUAUGCCAAGCGCUCGAAGUGCACUUUUGCUCAGACCAAGAUCAAUUACCUGGGGCAUUGCAUCAGUGAGCAAGGGGUGUCAACAGAUGACAGUAAAAUUCAGGCAGUCCAGGACUGGCCAGUUCCAACUACAGUGAAGAAGUUACGACGGUUUCUUGGGUUUGUAGGGUACAACCGCAAGUUCGUCAGGAAUUUUGGUGUUCUCAGUAAGCCGUUGACAGAUUUACUCAAAAAAGGUGCAGUGUUUGUGUGGACUCGCACCACCAAUGCAGCCUUUUGUGCUCUGAAGGAAGCCCUAGUGCAAGCCCCGGUCUUGGCAUUACCAGAUUUUGCAAAAAAAUUCAUGGUGGAAACCGAUGCUAGCGCAACGGGCAUCGGAGCUGUGUUAAUGCAGGAUUUCCACCCCAUUGCAUACCUCAGCAAGGCGUUGGCGCCAAAGAACCUCAGAUUGUCAGCUUAUGAAAAGGGGUGCCUGGCUCUUUUGUUGGCCAUCGACCACUGGCGGCCCUACUUGCAACAAGCAGAAUUCCUUAUUCGUACGGAUUAG